CCUGGUGCAGAACCAGCGAGAGGGAGCCCAGCUACCUGUGUGUGACUUCUGCAGGCACAAUGGUAAGUCGCCACCUCAUCUCUUCCUUUUGUCCAAACUGACGGUAGGUGAAGGUGCACCAUGGCUGAAGAGUGCAUCUGUCCCUCUGAGGGCCUCAAAGGCUGGCCAUUCACAUCAGGCAGCAGUGCCUUCUACACUGGAAGUGAUGCGAAGUCAGUUCCCAGGAACAAAAUAUUGUACAAGGAAGUGCUCCCAACCUUCCCCUUCCUCUGUCUUCUGAGGAGGUGUUGGUGUAUUUGCUGCUUAUUAAGGGCAGAGUAAUUAGAGAUCCAUGACAAGGUGCAGAAAAAUGUUCAAGGACGUGUCACGUACCCUUCACCCAGUUGUCCCCAAAGGCAUUGCAGUCCUAGCAGAAGGAGGAUAUGCACUGCAGGGGUCUGAAGAUCUCAGGUGCAGGCUUCUUUGAACUUCUACCACUCAGUUACCCAGGAUGCACUUUGAUUUCGGGUCUCAAACCACUUGUGUACCCUGUAUGCGAAGCCCCUCAGUAUUGGAAGCCCAAGUCUGCUCAGGGUGGGGUCUUAUAAUUAUAUUGAGGUGGUCACAAAGGCACAUUACAGCUACGUGACCAGCCUUAACUUCUAACAUCCCGCAGGCCUCAUUAAGGUACAAAUAACAAAUUCAGUGAUUACUGAACAGUGUUGACAGGCUGGUGGUCCUGCUCUGAAUCAACUCACUACCCAUGAUUGUUUUUUUUUUUAAUUAUUUAUUUAUUUAUUCAUGAGAGACAGAGAGAGAGGCAGAGGAAGAAGCAAGCUCCCUGUGAAGCAGGGAGCCUGAUGUGGGACUCGAUUCCAGGACCCCGGGAUCACAAUCUGAGCCGAAGGCAGAUGCUUAACCAACUGAGCCACCCAGGCGCCCCACUACCCAUGGUUUAGAACAUUAUUUAUCUUUAGUUAAUGUAGUCCACAGUGUUGGCCAAGGGUCAAUACCUUGAGUUAACCCAGAUCAGCUGAAGUUAACCUGCGCUGUACAAAUAUUAUAGUUCUAGCUUGCACAUUUAUGUUUAUGAUCCAUUUUGAGUUAAUUCAAUACAAGGUGUUGACGUUGUAUCUUCCAACCUGUUAAACUGGUCCGUGAAGGUUUUAGGGGUCUAGUGGUUUGUGGCAUGCUUAGAUAUUCCCUCCAAAAUAAAAGGCAAAUGAUUAUAUCUCAUACUUCCCUCCAAUAAGAAUGAAGCACAAUGUUGAGUAGGCUUCUUUGGGUCUGAGGUUGGUAGAUUCCAUGGGUGGGAAUGUUGCUCUGGCCCAUUUACUGAAUUACAUGGAGGGCUGUUGGUGUUGACUGGGGCCGUAAGCAGGAUAGGGCUCUGUAGUGAGUCAGGCUGUGUUGCUGGCGGCCCUGCCACUUGCACCAUAUAGUCUGGCAGACCUUACGUAUUUGUGUUAUCUGUGUUAGGAAAAGAUGCUAUCUGGCAUUUAUGGCAAGCCCCUGAGAGAAUCACAGUGUUGGCAAGUAGGGUUCUGGAUCAAGGCCAUGUCAUCUGUAAUUGAGAAUUAUAUAUGUAUCAUCCAAAAAACCCAACCAACCCAACCCAACAGCUCCUGAUGUGCUAUUGGACCUUGAUGGAGACAGAACCCAGCAAGAGAGUUCAAGUGACUCUACAGCCAGAACUGCCCAUCUUGAGCUGGGGUCUGCCAGACCCACCAAGUCAUCCGGUCAGUGGGCCCAACAGCAGUUUAUAGUAAGAUGGUAGCAGCUCAUCCCAUGUUGGGCACGUGGCUGACAGGGCCAGGCGGCACAAGUCAGCUGCACAAGCAGGUGGUCCAGGCCCCGUGUCAUCCACUAAUGUUGUUGCAUCAGGGCCUCUCAGCUUGUAACUGGGGCUGCAUGAAGGGUCCCUUAUAAACAGCUUAUAGAGGAGGGGAGAAAGGGGUCAAGCUUGAGCCAUGAGUGCGUGGGUUGAGAUAAGCCAAACAUGCUGCUGUGCUACGGCCUCACAGAAGGUGGCCCUGAACAACAGUGGUGAGGGGCAGAAGUUCAGACCGAGUAACUGGUCCUUCACUUUUUGUGGAAAGAAGUGGACUGAGCUUGGAAUAUAUAUGAGCUCAGGGCAGUGACUUGGCUUGGCUAGUUAAGCAGGAAUCUAGAAGGAGAAAGGUAGAGGAUGUGGUUGAUUGAAAAUUGCACCUGCAUCCUCCAAAGAUAUGUCCAUAUUCUAAUCCCGAAACCUUUGGAAAAAGGGUCUUUACAUAUGUAAUUCACUUAAGUAUUUUGAGAUAAGAGCAGCUGGGUUAUUGGGUGGGUCCUAAAUGCCAUCACAAUUAUCCUUAUCACACAGAGAUGGAGAGUAGACACACACAGAAGAGAAGACCACGUUGGGGCGCCUGGGUGGCUCAGUUGUUAAGCGUCUGCCUUUAGCUCAGGGCGCGAUCCCAGCGUCCUGGU